rnacentral:rRNA from 1 species
UACGUAGGGGGGCAAGCGUUGUCCGGAAUCAUUGGGCGUAAAGAGCGUGUAGGCGGCUCGGUAAGUCCGCUGUGAAAGUCCAGGGCUCAACCCUGGAAUGCCAGUGGAAACUGUCGAGCUAGAGUCCGGAAGAGGCGAGUGGAAUCCUGGUGUAGCGGUGAAAUGCGCAGAUAUCAGGAGGAACACCAAUGGCGAAGGCAGCUCGCUGGGACGGUACUGACGCUGAGACCGCGAAAGCGUGGGGAGCAAAC